AAAAAAUUAUAACUACCUAGCUUACACCCAAGUACACUCUAUAAAAUACUUCAUCUUCAUUCUUCCAUUUACAAACAACACCAGUGACGCAACACACAUUCGUCCUUAUCAUUGGCUCUAUUUCUUAGUUAGCCUACCUUGUUCCAAUUUGCAUACUGUACCCCAUUUAUAGCACCUCUCAACAACCACUAAUUCAUUCUAGAAGCAAGAUCGUCUCCAGAAAAACUCUAUAUAACCUCUAUCAACCACUCAUCAAGAUUAUGGCUUCCUACACCUCUCCAUCAAAAAUCCCCAAAAUACACCACCCUGAGACUGAAUCAAUUCAUGACCGCCUCCAACUGAUUGCUUACAAAUGCCAAGAUCCAUCUGUCAACCCCAACG